UCCCAAGGGACCAGGAAACUGAUGUGAAGCACGGCCCCUCUCUGUCAAGGCCUGAGCGAUUUUCCCACUUCUAAUCUUUCUUCUCUAUUGGAACCUGUAACAGAAAGCUCAAGAGGAAAGAUUCCCUAACUAUCCUGAGAGUGGAGUUGCAUGACUGUUCUGAAGAACUGAGACUACACAGUAGUGAAAAAAUUGAGUCCUCAGCGUUGGUCUGCUGGCUCAUUUACAACUGGAAAAACAGAAUGGACAUUAAAAGAGCUCCAAGAAUUGCCUAUAUUAAUGAAAAGAAAGAUGCUGCAGAGGUCUGAGUACAAAGGUAAGGGAAGCAUGGUUUCCAUUUCUUCAGUCACAUUUCUCUCUAUCACCAAUGCAUUUGAAAUAACAAAAGUGAAAUGUAAGAAGUCAGGGAAGGUUCAAAGCCUGAAAAUUGUUGUCCCUUGUGUAUACCUGAUAGGUGUGGAUUUGCAAAGUGAUUUUAAUAUUGGGAAUUUAAAAACAAUGACUAGAGGGAGGUGUGCUGUUGUUCCGAAGGCUCCCUGUGUGUGCCCUCUACUAGGAAAUGAAGGGUCACGGGCGGAUACUCAUUCUCUCUUUCUGAUUCUCUGUUUUCCUGACAUGACAUGCCUGUUGAUGGGUCGGUCUAAAAUAUUCAAAUGACUGCUUUCACUGCCAUCUUGCAACUGAUGUUAGCACUUGAAUUUUCCACGCAUUCCAUGAUUCUGGAUUGAUUUGGGUUUAUUUGAAGGAUAUGGACUGCUAUCUCAGCUAAUUUCACAGAUAACCUUUUAAUUUCAG